UGACGGCUGUAGAGAUACAGCGUUCCCUUCGGGACAGAUAGACAGGUGGUGCGUGGUUGUCGUCAGCUCGUGUCGUGAGAUGUUGGGUUAAGUCCCGCAACGAGCGCAACCCCUAUUGCCAGUUGCCAGCGAGUAAUGUCGGGCACUCUGGCGAGACUGCCGUUGACAAAACGGAGGAAGGUGGGGACGACGUCAAAUCAUCAUGCCCCUUAUGUCCUGGGCUACACACGUACUACAAUGGCAACAACAGAGGGCAGCCAGACCGCGAGGUUGAGCGAAUCCCAAAAUGUUGUCUCAGUUCAGAUUGCAGGCUGCAACUCGCCUGCAUGAAGUCGGAAUUGCUAGUAAUGGCAGGUCAGCAUACUGCCGUGAAUACGUUCCCGGGCCUU
rnacentral:rRNA from 1 species